rnacentral:rRNA from 1 species
GUGAGGAAUAUUGGUCAAUGGACGAGAGUCUGAACCAGCCAAGUAGCGUGCAGGAUGACGGCCCUAUGGGUUGUAAACUGCUUUUAUACGGGGAUAAAGUGACCCACGUGUGGGUUUUUGUAGGUACCGUAUGAAUAAGGACCGGCUAAUUCCGUGCCAGCAGCCGCGGUAAUACGGAAGGUCCGGGCGUUAUCCGGAUUUAUUGGGUUUAAAGGGAGCGCAGGCCGAUGGUUAAGCGUGACGUGAAAUGUAGCCGCUCAACGGCUGAACUGCGUCGCGAACUGGCUGUCUUGAGUGAGUUCGAUGUGGGCGGAAUUCGUGGUGUAGCGGUGAAAUGCUUAGAUAUCACGAAGAACUCCGAUUGCGAAGGCAGCCCACAAGGCCUUUACUGACGCUAAAGCUCGAAGGUGCGGGUAUCGAACAGG